UCAGGGAGGAAGAUGAGUACUCAGAACUGCGAUCAGAACUCAGCCAGAGCCAACACGAGGUCAACGAGGACUCUCGAAGCGUGGACCAAGACCAGACCUCUGUCUCUAUCCCCGAAAACCAGUCUACCAUGGUCACUGCUGACAUGGACAACUGCAGUGACCUGAACUCAGAACUGCAGAGGGUGCUGACAGGGCUGGAGAAUGUCGUCUGCGGCAGGAAGAAGAGCAGCUGCAGCCUCUCCGUGGCCGAGGUGGACAGGCACAUUGAGCAGCUCACCACGGCCAGCGAGCACUGUGACCUGGCUAUUAAGACAGUCGAGGAGAUUGAGGGGGUGCUUGGCCGGGACCUGUAUCCCAACCUGGCUGAAGAGAGGUCUCGGUGGGAGAAGGAGCUGGCUGGGCUGAGGGAAGAGAAUGAGAGCCUGACUGCCAUGCUGUGCAGCAAAGAGGAAGAACUGAACCGGACUAAGGCCACCAUGAAUGCCAUCCGGGAAGAGCGGGACCGGCUCCGGAGGAGGGUGAGCAUGCUGCAUCCAUAAUGGUCAGGCCCUUCCUGGGCAUGGGGCUGAGAGAGGCUGGUGUAUAGCACCAGGGGCACCGUGAGAAUUUUGUGGCAUUUGUAAUCUUGGGAAUCACUGUCUCUUUCUUGUUAUGAAGUCCUUCUUGAAAGUAGUUUGAAAUUGCUAAGGUAUAGAGGUAAGAUUUAAAAGAAAAAAAAAAAAAACACUUUUCUCUGGAAUCUUAAAUCUGACUGGUUGAU
rnacentral:sRNA from 1 species